rnacentral:rRNA from 2 species
UAACAGGAAAUAGCUUGCUAUUUUGCUGACGAGUGGCGCACGGGUGCGUAACGCGUAUACAAUCUACCUUUUGCUGAGGGAUAGCCCAGAGAAAUUUGGAUUAAUACCUCAUGGUAUUAUUGAUAGGCAUCUAUUAAUAAUUAAAGGUUACGGCAAAAGAUGAGUAUGCGUCCCAUUAGCUAGUUGGUGAAGUAACGGUUCACCAAGGCAACGAUGGGUAGGGGUCCUGAGAGGGAGAUCCCCCACACUGGUACUGAGACACGGACCAGACUCC